GGUCUGUGGAUUGUAAACCUCUUUUGUUAGGGAAGAUAAUGACGGUACCUAACGAAUAAGCAUCGGCUAACUCCGUGCCAGCAGCCGCGGUAAGACGGAGGAUGCAAGCGUUAUCCGGAAUUAUUGGGCGUAAAGCGUACGUAGGCGGUUUUAUAAGGUCUGUUGUCAAAGCCCGAGGCUUAACCUUGGAAAGGCAAUGGAAACUGUAAGACUAAAGAGAGAUAGGGGCAGGAGGAAUUCCAGGUGUAGCGGUGAAAUGCGUAGAUAUCUGNAAAAACACCAGUGGCGAAAGCGUCCUGCUGGAUCUCAACUGACGCUGAAGUACGAAAGCUAGGGGAGCGAAUGGGAUUAGAUACCCCAGNUAGU
rnacentral:rRNA from 1 species